GAGGAAGAAAAGCAUAUAUAAUUAAAGCAAUAAAUUGGGUUUUUGAGGUUGUCUGUUUACUAUUGUCAAAUAUAAUCUAUUUCAUGCAUUUAUCCAGAAUGCAUAAAAUAGGUCAGAUUUCAUUUUCUUCGGUUUGCUUAUUUUCUCCUCCAGUUCCCUGCAUAGACACAGAACCCAGAUGGAAAUGGGAAGACUGUUGACUUGUGUACUUAGAGAAGGUGGUGGUAGAGGAUUCAGUGCACUGGACCCUGGGAAUUGGAUGCCCGUGAGCAAAUAAAAACUAAAAAGAGGCAAUGAGGUAUCUGGGAAAGAGCAUGGUGUUUGGAGUCAGACAGAUCUGAGUUAGAAUCCUGGCUCAGCUGCAUUCACUGUGCAGUUUGGAUUUCACUCUCGUUCCUGUCUUCCCUGCAUUCACUCCGUGCGGUCCUCCCACCACCAAUUUCUCUCUCCACUGGGUUCUUUUCAUCUGCAUAUGCACAUGCGAAAAUAUCAACUCAAAACAAACAAACCUUGCCCUCUGCCUUCUUCAUCUCCUUCAGCUUCCACCCAGGCGUCUCCUCCCUUUACUGCCAAGCGUCUCAAGAGUCGCCCACACUCCCCGUCUCCUCUUCUGCAAUCCCCACCCACUCCUCAGUCUCCGAUGAUCUGGCUUCGGCCCCCACUGCACCACUGACCUGCUUCUGUCACAAUCACAAUGACUCCUGUGUGGCCAGCCCCAAAGACCGUUCCUUGCCCUCUGGUCAUCUGGCUACUCAGCAGCAUUUCCAACCCCCGAGCUGCUUCCCUCUUGAAGCAACUUUUCUUUCUUGGCAUCCAUCUCAUUCCCCUUUCCUGGAUCAUCCUCCUAACUUUCUGGCCUCUCCUUCUUAGUCUGUUUGCUGGAUCCUCCUCUUCAACCUGACACUGAACGUAGGGGUCCUCAGAGCUCAGCCCUGGGGUCCCCUCCCUUCCCCUUCCCAUCACUUCUCUUCACUGGUUACACUGUCUCCCUAGUCCCACGGCUUUAAAUAGUGGACAGAAACACCAAAUCCUGACCUGACCCGACCUCUCUGGUAGACUUCGACCCAGAAUGUACAACCGUUGGCUGUCCUCCUCCACUGGGGUAAUUCACAAAUAUCUCAGACUUAACUUAUCCGAAAUAAAAUCCUUCAUCCUUCUCCUUGCGGGAACAAACUACCCUUCCAUUGUCCCUGCCCUCCUCCCCAUGUUUUCUCAUCUCAGUAAGCACCACCACUAGCUACUCAGAUAGAAACUUCAGAGUCAUUCCUCACAGCUAACCUAUUACCCAGUUCUAUUGGUUCCUCUCCAAAAUAUAUCUCGAAUCCACCUGAUUCUCCCCAUCUUUACUGCCACCAUUAUAGUGGAUCUUCUGAUAUCUUUUGCCUCCAUUACUGUGAAAGCCUCUUAAUUCUUUUCCGCACCUCUGCUCUUGCCCUCCCAUGCAUUUCACACAGAGAUAUGACCUACACAUAAGAUAAACAGACCCAGCGUAAACACUCCUUGGCUUAAAACUUCCAAUGUCUCUCUCCAUUGCAGAGAAUAAAACAUAGCCCUUUUUAUAAUGCCCAGCAGGGGGAGCCCUACCUCUCUUUCCGGCUUCCUUUGAAACCAUCCACUUCUCUCACCUUGCUGUGGAUGAUCCUUCAGUUCUGCUAACGACCACAGCUCCUCCCUCCAUGCAGCCUUCCUCUGCUGUUCCCUUUGCCUCAGAGCCUCUGACCCCACCCCACUUCUGCCUUCACUCUCUGUGGUGUGUGUGUGUGUGUGUGUGUGUGUAUAAUAUUAAACAUUCAGAAAAGUAAAAUUUUAUUGUAUGUAAAUUAUACCUCAGUAUACCUGAUUAUCAAAAGA